UGGAGGAGCUAUUUGCUGUAACUAGCCAGCCUCAGCAGCACUCAACUGUGGAGGAGCCUGGUGCAGGGCCAAGUCAGGGCAAGAAUAAAAAAAGACAGCCUCAUUUUAGCAAGCAGGAAUUACAUAUCCUAAUUUCUGAAGCCAUGGAAAAAGUUCACCAUGCCCCCAAAAACAUAUGUGCGGCUGCAAAAGAGAAGAUAUGGCAAGAUAUCACAGAUGGCGUAAAUGUGAAGUCAAGAGAAGAUGGGCAGACUUCACAUGUCGACUCAAGGCAAAAAUGGCAGCUAGAAAAAGACAUGCAAGGGGGACUGGUGGAGGCACAACCCCACACUGGUUUGUCUUUACCCCUUUAGAAAAAAUGGCUCUGGGGUCAAUUGAGGAUGAGGAAGUGGUAGGAGUUUCAAACAUCGCGACAGACCUCCCUACCAUUGGAACUCCUUAUGUAGCACAAGAACUAUCUCGUGAGGCUGAUGCUGGUGAGGCCAUCCUGGUGCAGAAGAAGAUGUUGUGGAGGGGGGUUCAAUGCCAUUUUUGGAUGAGGAAGUGCCAUAUGUUGAAACACCACACCAACCCCAAAGGUCAACUGCCCAUAUCCCACCAUCUGUAACUCCUCUACUUAGUAGUCAACAGAUCCAGCAGGAAAUACUGACAGAAAGUCGACGCAAUUCACAGAUUUUCCAGCAGAUUUUAGAUGAGGUGCGUGAAAGAAACACCCUCAGCAGGGCAAGAAAUCAGCUCCUGGACCAGCACAAUACCAUUAUGCACAAUCUUACCAAUGUUGUAGAAGAGAGCAUGAGGCAGAUUGUAGCAGUUGUGGCUGAAGGACGUCACAACACCAUGUCAGCUCCAUCAUCCACACAGAACAUUGCAGACAACAUGGUUACUGACAGAAUGCGUCGAUCAACCAGAUGACCGACUUCCGCUGGUGAACCCCCAAACAUAGGGGCCCAAAAAAAAAAAAAAAAUAGUGUGCAUUUGAUUGUGAAGUGGUCAAACAUUCCAUAUUAUUGUUUCUUUGCUUUUAUUUACAUACCUUACUUUAAGGAAUUAUGUGUAAAUAUUUGUUUCAAUAAGUAUACAAAUGGAG